rnacentral:rRNA from 1 species
CCCUACGGGGUGCAGUACAGGCUGGAGCAUCGCCCGGUCGUCGCCUGCACCGGGGGGAACGCCCCGCUUGGCAAGGCGCUCGACGCGAUGGGGCUGCAGUAUGCGAAGGCGGCCGACGCUCUGGCCGCGAUCUCCGGUCCGACGAAGGUCGCCGUGCUUGACGCCUCCCCGGCGAUCCUGAAGCUCCUGGCGGCGAACCUGCCGAAGGUGAAGCAGUUCGUCACCGGGGGCGGGUGGAUCAUCUUCAACGGUCUCUCUCCCGAAGGCCUGGCCGACUA